rnacentral:rRNA from 1 species
UAGGGAAUAUUGCUUAAUGGGCGAAAGCCUGAAGCAGCAACGCCGCGUGAACGAAGAAGGCCUUCGGGUCGUAAAGUUCUUUUACGUGGGAUGAGGAAGGACAGUACCACGAGAAUAAGUCUCGGCUAACUACGUGCCAGCAGCCGCGGUAAAACGUAGGAGACGAGCGUUAUCCGGAUUUACUGGGCGUAAAGCGUGUGUAGGAGGCGUUACAAGUUGGAUGUGAAAGCUCCCGGCUUAACUGGGAGAGGUCGUUCAAGACUGUAGGGCUAGAGUGAGGCAGAGGUAGAUGGAGCUCCGGGAGUAGUGGUGAAAUGCGUAGAUAUCCGGAAGAACACCAGAGGCGAAAGCGAUCUACUGGGCCUAAACUGACACUGAGACGCGAAAGCCAGGGUAGCAAACGG